ACACAUAAAAGGGCGACAAUAGCGAAAAUGGACGAAUUUGGGUGGGGGAGAAUGAAGAGGUGUGGAAGUGGUGUAAGAGGUUGCUUGCUUGGGAGGAGAAUUUAAUGGGAGAUUUUGUUGAGCGGUUAACCUAAGUUGUUUUGUAGGUGGAAGUAGAAGAUCAUUAGUUGUGGACUUUACAUCCCUCUUCUUGCUACAUGGUUAACAUUGCUUAUAAAAAUCUGUAUAAAG
rnacentral:lncRNA from 1 species